UAUACGACCGUACCGCAAACCGACACUGGUGCGCGAGAUGAGUAUUCUAAGGCGCUUGAGAGAACUCAGGAGAAGGAACUCGGCAAAUUGACACCGUAACUUCGGAAGAAGGUGUGCCCUAUUAGUGUGUAGUGAACAACGAAGCAUGAAUGGGUUGCAAAAAAUCGGUGGCUGCGACUGUUUAUUAAAAACACAGCACUCUGCAAACACGAAAGUGGACGUAUAGGGUGUGACGCCUGCCCGGUGCUGGAAGAUUAAAUGAUGGGGUGCAAGCUCUUGAUUGAAGUCCCAGUAAACGGCGGCCGUAACAAUAACGGUCCUAAGGUAGCGAAAUUCCUUGUCGGGUAAGUUCCGACCUGCACGAAUGGCGUAACGAUGGCCACACUGUCUCCUCCUGAGACUCAGCGAAGUUGAAAUGUUUGUGGUGAUGCAAUCUCCCCGCGGAAAGACGGAAAGACCCCAUGAACCUUUACUGUAGCUUUGUAUUGGACUUUGAACAGAUCUGUGUAGGAUAGGUGGGAGGCUUUGAAGCAGGGUCGCUAGAUCUUGUGGAGCCAACGUUGAAAUACCACCCUGGUGUGUUUGAGGUUCUAACCUAGGUCCAUUAUCUGGAUCGGGGACAGUGCAUGGUAGGCAGUUUGACUGGGGCGGUCUCCUCCCAAAGCGUAACGGAGGAGUUCGAAGGUACGCUAGUUACGGUCGGACAUCGUGACGAUAGUGCAAUGGCAUAAGCGUGCUUAACUGCGAGACUGACAAGUCGAGCAGAUGCGAAAGCAGGACAUAGUGAUCCGGUGGUUCUGUAUGGAAGGGCCAUCGCUCAACGGAUAAAAGGUACUCUGGGGAUAACAGGCUGAUACCGCCCAAGAGUUCAUAUCGACGGCGGUGUUUGGCACCUCGAUGUCGGCUCAUCUCAUCCUGGGGCUGUAGCCGGUCCCAAGGGUAUGGCUGUUCGCCAUUUAAAGAGGUACGUGAGCUGGGUUUAAAACGUCGUGAGACAGUUUGGUCCCUAUCUUCCGUGGGCGCUGCAGAUUUGAGGAAGCCUGCUCCUAGUACGAGAGGACCGGAGUGGACACACCUCUGGUGUAUCGGUUGUCACGCCAGUGGCAUUGCCGAGUAGCUAAGUGUGGAAGAGAUAACCGCUGAAAGCAUCUAAGCGGGAAACUCGUUUCAAGAUGAGAUCUGCCGGGGCCUUGAGUCCCCUAAAGAGUCGUUCAAGACCAGGACGUUGAUAGGUCAGGUGUGGAAGCCAA
rnacentral:rRNA from 1 species